GAUGAACGCUGGCGGCGUGCCUAAUACAUGCAAGUCGAGCGAACGGACGAGAAGCUUGCUUCUCUGAUGUUAUCGGCGGACGGGUGAGUAACACGUGGAUAACCUACCUAUAAGACUGGGAUAACUUCGGGAAACCGGAGCUAAUACCGGAUAAUAUUUUGAACCGCAUGGUUCAAAAGUGAAAGACGGUCUUGCUGUCACUUAUAGAUGGAUCCGCGCUGCAUUAGCUAGUUGGUAAGGUAACGGCUUACCAAGGCAACGAUGCAUAGCCGACCUGAGAGGGUGAUCGGCCACACUGGAACUGAGACACGGUCCAGACUCCUACGGGAGGCAGCAGUAGGGAAUCUUCCGCAAUGGGCGAAAGCCUGACGGAGCAACGCCGCGUGAGUGAUGAAGGUCUUCGGAUCGUAAAACUCUGUUAUUAGGGAAGAAAAUAUGUGUAAGUAACUGUGCACAUCUUGACGGUACCUAAUCAGAAAGCCACGGCUAACUACGUG
rnacentral:rRNA from 1 species